rnacentral:misc_RNA from 1 species
GAUGAAGAACGCAGCGAAAUGCGAUAAGUAGUGUGAAUUGCAGAAUUUAGUGAAUCAUCGAAUCUUUGAACGCACAUUGCGCCCCUUGGUAUUCCAUGGGGCAUGCCUGUUCGAGCGUCAUUUGUACCUUCAAGCUUUGCUUGGUGUUGGGUGUUUGUCCUGAGGGACUCGCCUUAAAGUAAUUGGCAGCCAGUGUUUGGUUUUGAAGCGCAGCACAAGUCGCGAUUCAAAGCUAUACGCCCGCUUCCACAAGCCUUUUUCACUUUUGACCUCGGAUCAGGUAGGGAUACCCGCUGAACUUAAGCAUAUCAAUAAGCGGAGGA